GGCCUUAUGGUUCAGUGGCAAAACACCUCUUUGACGUGGAGGGGUCCGCGGUUCGAUUCCGCGUAAGGCCA
rnacentral:tRNA from 1 species